rnacentral:rRNA from 1 species
UAGAGUUUGAUCCUGGCUCAGGACGAACGCUGGCGGCGUGCCUUACACAUGCAAGUCGGACGGCAGCGCGGGAGCAAUCCUGGCGGCGAGUGGCGAACGGGUGAGUAAUACAUCGGAACAUGUCCAGUAGUGGGGGAUAGCCCGGCGAAAGCCGGAUUAAUACCGCAUACGAUCUAUGGAUGAAAGCGGGGGAUCGCAAGACCUCGCGCUAUUGGGGUGGCCGAUGGCGGAUUAGCUAGUUGGUGGGGUAAUGGCCUACCAAGGCGACGAUCGGUAGCCGGCCUGAGAGGGUGAUCGGCCACACUGGAACUGAGACACGGUCCAGACUCCUACGGGAGGCAGCAGUGGGGAAUCUUGCGCAAUGAGCGAAAGCUUGACGCAGCAACGCCGCGUGGGUGAUGAAGGCCUUCGGGUCGUAAAGCCCUGUCGGAGGGAACGAAUGCUCCCGAGGUUAACAACCUCGGGAGGUGACGGUACUCUCAAAGGAAGCACCGGCUAACUCUGUGCCAGCAGCCGCGGUAA